GCAUUGCUGAAGAGCCCCACAACAGGACGAAAUGGCCAUCCAGUGC
rnacentral:hammerhead_ribozyme from 1 species